UACUCCCUCUAGAGUAAAUUCAGGCAGUCUAACAUCACCACUGCAAAUCCUCAUUCUUUUUUACUUUCUCACCCAAACUUACAAAAAAAAUCAGUAUAACAGUAAAUUAUUUCUUUAGCAUCAGUGACUAAUGUUAACAUCAAUUCCAGCAUUUCUCUCCAUCAGAAAUUUUCCAGAUUGUAAUAUAUGCAUCUGGACUGCAGUCUAAUGGAUGCAAAAGUUGAGUCAGGAUGGCUUCCCUGGCAAUAAGAAACCAGGAGAGGAAGAAGAGAGAAACACUUGAUUACUACAAAACCAACCACAGACAUCCUACUGCUUCCAUUUUUGUAUUAAGACAUUUGUCUGAAGAACCUAAGAAAUGUACUUUCAGCGAAGUUCACUCUCUAACUUGGAUUUUAAUUUCCUGUUGAUCAGUAAUCAUGAGAAUGAAUAUGCAAGCUUAAAAGCCUGAGCUAAAACUGUUCACUUCCGUAUCUACCUGUACAAAGAAACCCAGCAGGGACAAGUGAAGUUACAAGAGCCUUUCAGGUAGCAGUUUCUCUGGCCUUUCAGCAGUGUGCAGGAGCAGUUCCAUUAAUGCUGAUUUACAAUAAUGUAAAUAAAAUUCUUGCUGAUUGUAUUUGGACUCCUUAUACUGGCAACAAAAAAGCACUCUAAAAAGCAAAAGUGUUUACUUUCAAAUAAAAUGUACUAAAGUUUUGAUUUUCCUCUACACAUGAUCUGCCUGUAGAAAACGAAACUUUCUGAUUUUGCAUUAGCAAUGUUACAUGUUUCAGUGCUUCACUAAAUUGUAAGUAACCAUUCAAGUCAACUAGAAUAUAUUGGAGAUUCUUCAUCUUUGAGAAAGCUGAUCACCUUCUAAUUUUUAGAGGGGUACAACGUAACAAAGUAACAAACAGCUUUUCUAACUUAUGAAGCUGUUUUCUCACGUAAAGGUAGGGUGUUAAUAUAUAGUAUGCUUCACUUUCUUCAGCCACCAACUCUGAUUUGAUAAUUUUUAAUAUUGACACUUACAGCUUGCAUAGUCAUCUACCCCCAUGGCUUUUGUAAAAUAUUGCUUAAGAAUAGACAAAAACAACGUGUAGUGAU